rnacentral:misc_RNA from 1 species
GAUGAAGAACGCAGCGAAAUGCGAUAAGUAAUGUGAAUUGCAGAAUUCAGUGAAUCAUCGAAUCUUUGAACGCACAUUGCGCCCGCCAGUAUUCUGGCGGGCAUGCCUGUCCGAGCGUCAUUUCAACCCUCGCGCCCAUCUGGGCUGCGGUGUUGGGGACCGGCCUGCCCCCCGGGGCGCGCCGCCCCCCAAAUUCAGUGGCGGUCUCGCUGCAGCCUCCCUUGCGUAGUAGCACACCUCGCACCGGAGCGCAGCGCGGCCACGCCGUAAAACCCCCGACCCCCAUGAGUUUGACCUCGGAUCAGGUAGGAAUACCCGCUGAACUUAAGCAUAUCAAUAAGCCGAGGA